ensembl:snRNA U6 U6 spliceosomal RNA
GUGCUCACUUCAGCAGCACGUAUGGUAAAAUUGAACAAUAUAGAGAAGAUUAGCAUGGCCCCUACACAACCAUGACACACAAAUUCGUGAAGCGUUCCAUAUUUAU